GAAAAAUGAAAAUCUGAGCUACUGAGAAGGAGCUCUCAGCAAGAUAACAAGGAAAAGGGUCAUCUCCCCGAAGCACCUGACUGAAGGGCUGGGAAUUUGGCUCAGCGUUGCCGCCACCUGCCUGCCAAGUGAAAGGUCCAGAGUUCGAUCCCUGGUACAAAAAAACAAAACAAAACAAAACAAUAACAACAACAACAAAAUCUGACUGAAGUGACAUGAUUUCUUCUCUCCACAGGAUGCCUGACAGAAACAUGUUGCUGUCCACAACAUAUGACAAAAAAGAGCAGG
rnacentral:lncRNA from 1 species